AUUGAACGCUGGCGGCAGGCCUAACACAUGCAAGUCGAGCGGAUGAAGGGAGCUUGCUCCUGGAUUCAGCGGCGGACGGGUGAGUAAUGCCUAGGAAUCUGCCUGGUAGUGGGGGAUAACGUCCGGAAACGGGCGCUAAUACCGCAUACGUCCUGAGGGAGAAAGUGGGGGAUCUUCGGACCUCACGCUAUCAGAUGAGCCUAGGUCGGAUUAGCUAGUUGGUGGGGUAAAGGCCUACCAAGGCGACGAUCCGUAACUGGUCUGAGAGGAUGAUCAGUCACCCUGGAACUGAGACACGGUCCAGACUCCUACGGGAGGCAGCAGUGGGGAAUAUUGGACAAUGGGCGAAAGCCUGAUCCAGCCAUGCCGCGUGUGUGAAGAAGGUCUUCGGAUUGUAAAGCACUUUAAGUUGGGAGGAAGGGCAGUAAGUUAAUACCUUGCUGUUUUGACGUUACCAACAGAAGAAGCACCGGCUAACUUCGUG
rnacentral:rRNA from 1 species